GUUGGGGGGAAAGUGCAUUCCAAGCAUGGAUUACAGGCUAUGCAAAGGCACGGGAUAGGAGAUGGAAUGUUAGUGUACGUGUAGAUAGGCCAGUUUAUUUGGAAUGUAAAGUGCAUGAAAGAGUAACGUGCAAUAAUCCUGAAAAGAUAGGCUGGGGCCAGAAGGACUUCCAAUGACAUUUUAAAUAGAGGAUGUUUUAUCCCAGAGGGAAGAGGGAGCCACUGAAGCUUCUUGAAAGUGGGAGUUAUACGGCCAGACAGACCUGUGCUUUUAAAAUAUGAAUUUUUGGUAGCCGUGCGGAUGAUGAAUUGAAGAAGGGAGAGGCUGGAAAUGGAGAGACCAAAAAGGAGGCUAUUGCAACAGUCCAGGCUAGAGGUAAUGAGGGCCUGAACUAGGCUGGUGACUGUCUGAGUGGAGAGGAGGCAAAAGCAAGAAAUAUUGUGGAGGUAGAAACAAGACUGGGCAACUUAUAAGGGGAGAGUGAGGAGUCAAGGAUGACACUGGACUUUGAAACCUGGUUGACUUGGAAGGAUGGAUCAUGCUCUCAACAACAGGACAUUUAGGAAGACUUAGAGAUUUUUGGAGAAUGAUAAUGAGUUCUGUUUGGUCCCAUUGAGUGUCUCCUAAAGGACAUCCAGUUGAGGAAAAUGUCCAAUAGGCAGUUGGUUGAUACAGGGCUGGAGCUCAGGAUCUGAGAGUCAUUCCUAUUGAGAUAACAGUUGAACCCAUGAACCCUGUUAAGAUCGCAGAAGAAAGUGUAGAGAGGAGCAUCUGGGACAGAGCUUUGGGGCACACCUAUUCCUAGAGCUUGGAACAAGGAAAAGGAAAAGGACCCUGAGAAGUAGCUAGACACAGGAACAGCCAGUUAUAUCAUAAAAACCCAGGGAGGAGUCUUCAGGAAGAGGAGUGGUCAGUGAUCUCUUAAUCUCCUUCCUUGAGAUGUAGCAUAGUACCAUGGAAAGAGCAUUGACUUUGUAGUCAGAAUUCCUGGGUCAAAUUCUGGCCCUGACACUCACUACCUGUGUAACAUUUGGUCUAUCAGGCCAUCGUUUGGACCUCAGCUUCUCUGUUCAACGUGUAUGUGUAGGAAAGUAGGGGGUAGAUCAGAUGAUAUCUUUCUGUCAACUCCAAAUCUGUGCAUGUGUGUGUGCUUGUGCAUGCACACACAUGCACACCAGCAAUGCUUAGAACAAUAGCCCUUCUUUCGUGGAUGAGUCAAUGUGUGAGUGUGUAUACACACAAUAGCUCUUCUCUCAUGGAUGAGUCAACUUUUGUGGGUGUCCUCCCGAAAUGAAGCUAUCCUAUUCAAGAUCCUCUCCAAUAGAUAGGGAAUUGGCCUUGCAGGGAAAGUGGUUAGGAAAGAAUAGCAGGUAAUGUCUUUGAGGGAAGUCCAGAAACCAUUGGAGAUGUAAAGAACUGAUCUGGUGAGAUAUUGAAAGAAUUCUCCUUUUAGAGCUUGAAGCAAAAAACUGUAGCCCAGAAGGACCAGCUAAUCUUGGGGAAGUGUGUUUGUGUGUAUGCAUGUUUUAAGGAUCAAACUACACCCUUUUCUUCCUUGAUAGGCAAUCAUUUUUUCUUUUCAGGGAAAAAGUUAGGAGACAGAAGAGAAAAGGAGAUCACACACAGAUAAUUUCACAGCCACGAGAGCCUAUUAUUAGAAACCUUUAAAGUUUUUGAAUGAAAGAAAAAGCUUGAAUUCCUAGUUAAGGGGGUCUAGAAGUAGCUAACAUCAUCUCUUCUUAUGGAGUGACUGGAGCCUAGUCUAAAAGGUUGAUGGAAAGUCUCACGAAGACCAUUUAAUAAAGAGAGACCAGAGUGAGGCUUGAGCAAAGACUAGAGAGGCAGGAUGGCCAUUUCCCCUUUCUUCAAGUACUUACCUCAAUUCCAGGGCAGGCAGGUCUACCACUCUAUGUCUGAGAGCAAAAACAGGAAAUUACAAAAUGUCCUUCAGGGUAAGCACUGUUUUUGUGCUAGAAAUAGCAAGCUCUACCACAGUGGAUAGAGAGCUGGCUUGUGGACAGGAGGACCUGGGUUAAAGUCUUGCCUCUGAUACAAACUAGCUGCGUCACUCUGGGUCAUGAUUCCACAGAAAUCCAGGAGGGCAAAAAGUUAUCAUGCUGACAGAAAUUCAGCAACUGUACCAUCAGCCAGCGGUAAGUUUUUCUCUUUCUUUGGACAAAGCCGUAGUAUCAAACACAAGGCAUGUGUGGGAUAAUGUGCCCAAACCACACACUCACUCAAAGAGAAGAUGGAGACAUAUGCCACUUCUCUCCAGGACAUUGUUUCUAGAUGAAAUGUGUCCAGAUUUUCUUAACUGUUUAGCGUAUCAAUACAAAGAAAAAAAGCAAGUAGGAACAAUUUCUAGAAAACUGGUUAGUUUUCCAGACAGGUUAUCAGUUAACCUUUUUCCUCAAGGAUCAUAGAAAACACCAAACUUGGAAGAUGAGAACUGCUUUUUCCUCAUUGUCUCAAAUGUUCUGUUUUUCCUGUGGAAUUCUUA